rnacentral:rRNA from 1 species
CCUAACACAUGCAAGUCGAGCGGUAGCACAGAGAGCUUGCUCUCGGGUGACGAGCGGCGGACGGGUGAGUAAUGUCUGGGAAACUGCCUGAUGGAGGGGGAUAACUACUGGAAACGGUAGCUAAUACCGCAUAACGUCGCAAGACCAAAGAGGGGGACCUUCGGGCCUCUUGCCAUCAGAUGUGCCCAGAUGGGAUUAGCUAGUAGGUGGGGUAACGGCUCACCUAGGCGACGAUCCCUAGCUGGUCUGAGAGGAUGACCAGCCACACUGGAACUGAGACACGGUCCAGACUCCUACGGGAGGCAGCAGUGGGGAAUAUUGCACAAUGGGCGCAAGCCUGAUGCAGCCAUGCCGCGUGUAUGAAGAAGGCCUUCGGGUUGUAAAGUACUUUCAGCGGGGAGGAAGGUGCUGAGGUUAAUAACCUCAGCAAUUGACGUUACCCGCAGAAGAAGCACCGGCUAACUCCGUGCCAGCAGCCGCGGUAAUACGGAGGGUGCAAGCGUUAAUCGGAAUUACUG